GGCCAAUUAGCACCCGGGGACAAGGGGAAGGAGGACUUAGUGGUGCUGGAGAUAGCCAAGGGGGAGAAGUGGAAGAGGUGCCCCCAGUGCAAGUACUUGGUCGAAAAACACAACGGCUGUGUGCACAUAACUUGCAGGUGUGGCUUCCAGUUCUGCUAUGCAUGUGGCGAUCCGUGGGGACAGCCUGAUCAUUCCUCUUGCAACACAGCGUGAAAGCUGAUUUUGCUCAUAAUCCGGCAGUGGAAAGCGAAUGAAGUUCCGCGAUCCAUGCAGUCAAACUAUUUUUAGUUAUAUACGGCACAUGCAGCCCAACUAUUUCUAGUCAUAUAUGACACUACCGCAGAAGUAAAAACUAAUAAGUGUAGUUCAAU